CUGAACUUUCUUGGCCCCAAAAGAAUUUUUCAACCCUCCAGACUCACAUAUAUGCUAAGCUAAUACACCACCUCGUUCGAUAUAUUUGUUGUUGCAGUUUCAAUCUCUGAAUCAAUCUUCUCAGAAACAUUUCAGCUUGUCACAAAAAAUAUCUUCUACUCUUUCGACUAAUUAAUUUGUUGCAGCUUCGAAAUCCUCUCAAUCGAUUUCCAUAUGAAAUGAAUGGGCGUAAUGUUUGUUUUCCGUGGGAAUCAUCACAUGUACCCUGGAGGGAGACACGAUCAAUCAUCUGUGAUUCUCAGCAUGAUGAUAUCUCCUCUCAAAGAUGUGUUUUCUUCUUUUGAUGUACCAUCAGCCUGACUCUUGGUUUCUUCACAUGUUCUUGGUGGAACGGCAUCGAGCAUACCUGAAAACAAACCCAUCAUGUCACCUGUGGACCUAACUGGGAUACUAUGAGAAACAAGCAGCGAGCAGCAACUUGAAAAUUGAUAGUGUCCGUUAAUUCCUCCUUCGAAAGAUAGUUUCAUACUCAGCCACCUUUACUAGAAAUGCAAACUUUUAUACUAUGAAUUUGCAGGUAUCAGCUCACACCGUGUCAUCAAAGGAGGUCCACAUGAACGGCCGAUAUGAGCGUAUCCGUUGACAAUGGGUUUGACGGACUACAUGUUUGGUCCUCAAGGGAGAUAUUACGGGGAUCUGAAUAUUGGUCUAUCUUUAUCUUACAGUGCUGAUGAUGAAAAAACAAUACAUUCAGGAAAAAAAAAAGAAAAUCUUUAUCUUACAGCUAUUCAAGUACUUUUGAAAUGAAUGACAAUGUUUUCAUGAAUUUCUCUCUUGAUUCCAAGUUCAAUUCUUAAUUGAAAUAAUCUUUAGUAUCUUCGACAAAAUUAACACCUGCAGUGAAGUCUUGUUUCUGAUAACCUUGGAAACAUGUCUAGCAACCCACUAGACCUAGAAGAGAUCAGAAGGCAAUGUAAAAUGUCGGGCAGUCCUCAUUUAUAUCAGCGAAAAAGAAAAAAAAAAAAAAGCAAACAUAAAAAUUAGGGGCUCGCACCCUAAGUGAGAA